rnacentral:rRNA from 1 species
UACGGAGGGUGCGAGCGUUGUUCGGGAUCACUGGGCGUAAAGGGCGUGUAGGCGGUCCGCUAAGUCUGAUGUGAAAGCCCGGGGCUCACCCCCGGAAGUGCAUUGGAAACUGGCGGACUCGAGUCCCGGAGAGGAGAGUGGAAUUCCUGGUGUAGCGGUGAAAUGCGUAGAUAUCGGGAGGAAUACCGAUGGCGAAGGCAGGUCUCUGGGCUAUAACUGACGCUCAUGCACGAAAGCGUGGGGAGCAAACAGG